rfam:Erinaceus europaeus unplaced genomic scaffold scaffold00034, whole genome shotgun sequence
AUCACUUCUCAGCCUAUUGGCUGAGAUUAGGUAUAGUAUCUGUUUUUACCACUUUAACAUCUGAUAUGUUCUGUAUCUGAGGACAGAAUAUUAAAUGGGUUUUUGGAGUAGGGACUUGUAAUAGGGAUUUGCACCAUCCUCUCCAUUGAUUGACCUGUUACUGCAGUACCUCGAUAAAUGGCAUACCCUC